rnacentral:rRNA from 1 species
AUUGAACGCUGGCGGCAGGCUUAACACAUGCAAGUCGAGCGGAGAAAGGUAGCUUGCUCCCUGACCUAGCGGCGGACGGGUGAGUAAUGCUUAGGAAUAUGCCCAUUAGUGGGGGAUAACAUCUCGAAAGGGAUGCUAAUACCGCAUACGUCCUACGGGAGAAAGGAGGGGACCUUCGGGCCUUGCGCGAAUAGCUGAGCCUAAGGCGGAUUAGCUAGGUGGUGGGGUAAACGGCUACCAAGGCGACGAUCUGUAGCGGGUCUGAGUGGAUGAUCCGCCAAACUGGGACUGGGACCCGGGCCAGACUCCUAAGGGGAGCAGCAGGUGGGGAAAUUGGAAAAUGGGGCGAAAGCUGAUCCAGACAUGGCGCGGGGGGGAAGAAGGCCCUUUGGUUGUAAAGCACGUUAAGCGAGGAGGAGGCUACCGAGAUUAAUACUCUUGGAUAGUGGACGUUACUCGCAGAAUAAGCACCGGCUAACUCUGUG